UACAGAGGUCUCAAGCGUUUGUUCGGAUUCAUUGGGCGUAAAGGGUGUGUAGGUGGCGCGCUAAGUCAGGUGUGAAAUUUCGGAGCUUAACUCCGAAACUGCAUUCGAUACUGGCGUGCUUGAGGACUGGAGAGGAGACUGGAAUUCAUGGUGUAGCAGUGAAAUGCGUAGAGAUCAUGAGGAAGACCAGUGGCGAAGGCGGGUCUCUGGACAGUUCCUGACACUGAGACACGAAGGCCAGGGGGAGCAAACGGG
rnacentral:rRNA from 1 species